CUUAGACUUGAACGCUUCCUGAGCAGUCUGAUGGAGCACGCCGCGUGAGUGAAGAAGGCUUUCGGGUCGUAAAACUCUGUUGUUGGAGAAGAAUGGUCGGCAGAGUAACUGUUGUCGGCGUGACGGUAUCCAACCAGAAAGCCACGGCUAACUACGUGCCAGCAGCCGCGGUAAUACGUAGGUGGCAAGCGUUAUCCGGAUUUAUUGGGCGUAAAGCGAGCGCAGGCGGUUUUUUAAGUCUGAUGUGAAAGCCCUCGGCUUAACCGAGGAAGUGCAUCGGAAACUGGGAAACUUGAGUGCAGAAGAGGACAGUGGAACUCCAUGUGUAGCGGUGAAAUGCGUAGAUAUAUGGAAGAACACCAGUGGCGAAGGCGGCUGUCUGGUCUGUAACUGACGCUGAGGCUCGAAAGCAUGGGUAGCGAACAGGAUUAGAUAC
rnacentral:rRNA from 2 species